UAGGGAAUCUUCGGCAAUGGGGGCAACCCUGACCGAGCAACGCCGCGUGAGUGAAGAAGGUUUUCGGAUCGUAAAGCUCUGUUGUAAGUCAAGAACGAGUGUGAGAGUGGAAAGUUCACACUGUGACGGCAGCUUACCAGAAAGGGACGGCUAACUACGUGCCAGCAGCCGCGGUAAUACGUAGGUCCCGAGCGUUGUCCGGAUUUAUUGGGCGUAAAGCGAGCGCAGGCGGUUUGAUAAGUCUGAAGUUAAAGGCUGUGGCUCAACCAUAGUUCGCUUUGGAAACUGUCAAACUUGAGUGCAGAAGGGGAGAGUGGAAUUCCAUGUGUAGCGGUGAAAUGCGUAGAUAUAUGGAGGAACACCGGUGGCGAAAGCGGCUCUCUGGUCUGUAACUGACGCUGAGGCUCGAAAGCGUGGGGAGCGAACAGGAUUAGAUACCCUGGUAGUCCACGCCGUAACGAUGAGUGCUAGGUGUUGGAUCCUUUCCGGGAUUCAGUGCCGCAGCUAACGCAUUAAGCACUCCGCCUGGGGAGUACGACCGCAAGGUUG
rnacentral:rRNA from 1 species